UCCGAGUCUCGCUACAGCUGUCAGUGUCA
rnacentral:piRNA from 1 species